UACGGAGGGUGCAAGCGUUGUUCGGAAUUACUGGGCGUAAAGGGCUCGUAGGCGGUUUGUCGCGUCGGGAGUGAAAUCCACUGGCUUAACUGGUGGCUUGCUUUCGAUACGGGCAGACUGGAGGUAUGCAGGGGAGAACGGAAUUCCUGGUGUAGCGGUGAAAUGCGCAGAUAUCAGGAGGAACACCGGUGGCGAAGGCGGUUCUCUGGGCCUGUACUGACGCUGAGGAGCGAAAGCGUGGGGAGCGAACAGG
rnacentral:rRNA from 1 species